UGUAAGCGUAUACCAAAGUUGUUGCAGUUAAAACGCUCGUAGUCGGAGUUUGGCAGUUCCGGAUGUGUGCACGUCGUGUGCGCACUUCGCGGGGAUUGCUUUUGUGGUCUUGCGUAGGAUGAGGCACUUUUAUUAGUGAACGUCCUCACGCAACCACUUUUUACUGUGAGAAAAUCAGAGUGCUCAAAGCAGGCAUUUGCCGUGAAUGUAUUAGCAUGGAAUAAUAGAAUAGGACUUGGUUCUAUUUUGUUGGUUUGUUGGGACUGAGUAAUGAUUAAGAGGGACAGUUGGGGGCAUUUGUAUUUCGGUGCUAGAGGUGAAAUUCUUAGAUUACCGAAAGACAAGCUGCUGCGAAAGCGUCUGCCAAGGAUGUUUUCAUUGA
rnacentral:rRNA from 1 species